ensembl:lncRNA
CAGCACAGGCCUGGCCCCCACUGAAGGGGAGGUCUUGGUGGAAGGCAAGGGGAGCCUGUGUCCCCACCGGGCAGACCUGAGCCGGCCCGGGACUCAGGGCCUGUACGCUGGGUCAGAGCUGUCGGAUGUGGCCCGGGAUGGGCCAGCUGAGGCUCCUGUCACCUCCUGAGGGGUAGUGGCAGAAGCCAGUGCCGGGAGGGGCGGGACAGGGCUUGACAACAGUCCUGGGGAGGUUUCUAGAGUGCUUUCUUUGACCCGGGGCUGAAUGGAGCCACAGGCUCCAGAUGUCAAAGCUGCCGAGUGCCUCCGUCCCUUCCUUCCUCUCCUCCCACCUCUCUCCCUGCCCCUUCCUACCAUCCAUCCUUCCUCCCCCCAACUUUCUUUCCUUUUUUCUUGUCUUUUGUCUUAGGCAUAUAGUCAUCUUUAUUGUGAUUCAUGAGUCCGUUAGAAGCCGACACACACAGAUCCCUUCAUUAAGCCAUCGAGAUUGUCAAGGGCUUCUGCUUUUCACUCAUUGAGAAUCCACGCUUUCCCUGAGAAUGGGGCGGGGCUGGGGGAAAGGCCAACAUCCGAGUGUCCCUGUGACGCGUCCCUGCCCCGUCGGGGGCAUGAAAGGGUCUCAGGGCCUCCCAGGUCGCCGCGCUACGGUGUCGCCACACACCUGCCCACACUCAGGUGUCUCCUGGAAUUCCUCACCAGCGGGCACCUGGAGAUAGAACAUUCUGUUUCUCUGCUGGCUCUUGCUGGGCAAGUCCAGGGUUAUUUGUUGUACCCAAACUUAACGCCGUUGAAUUGUCCAGACUUAGCUUCCAGAAAGAAUGUGUUACUCACUUUUGCCAACUCUCCCUGCCAAAUAAAGGGUCCCAGAGCAUUAAGUGUUUUUUGUUUUUGAAGAAUUUUUGAUGUGGACCAUUUUAAAGUCUUCAUUGAAUGUGAUGUUCUCUUUUAUGUGUGUUGGUGUUUUGGCCAAGAGGCAUGUGGGAUCUUAGCUUCCCAACCAGAAAUCUAACUCGCACCCACCGUACUGGAAGGCGAAGUCUUAGCCCCUGGACCACCAGGGAAGUGCCCCCACUGCAUUUUCAAGUCAGCUUCUAAAAUUGUGCUUCGUAGGUUUGAAUAUUUGCCAAGGGUCUGGAGCUUGGUCUGGGGAGUGAACACUGACAUUUGGAAAGGGACUGUUCCUAACUGUAACCGUAUCCGACUUCCCUGGUGGCUCAGGCGGUUAGGCGUCUGUCUACAGUGCGGGAGACCUGGGUUCGAUCCCUGGGUCGGGAAGAUCCCCUGGAGAAGGAAAUGGCAAUCCACUCCAGUGCUACUGCCUGGAAAAUCCCAUGGACAGAGGACUUCACUCUCACUACAGCCUAAAGUGUGACUUGAUAACCACCUUGUCUUGACAGGUAACUGAGGGCCUAUAGGGGAUGUUCUUUGCUCCUCUUCUUUCCUGGCUUUAUACCCCCUGCUUCCCUGAGGCGUUUUACCCUGAUGUCAUUGACUUUUAUCUUUGUUGUUCAUUCGCUAACUUGUGUCCAACUCUCUGCAACCCCAUGGACUGCAGCACGCCAGGCUUCCCUGUCCUUCACUGUUCCCCAGAGUUUGCUCAUAUUCAUGUCCAUUGAGUAAAGGAUGCUAUCUGACUAUCUCAUCCUAUGCAACUCUCUUCUCCUUUUGCCUUCAAUCUUUCCCAGCAUCAGGAUCUUUUCCAGUGAGUCGGCUCUUUGCAUGAGGUGGCCAAAGUAUUGGAGCUUCAGCUUCAGCAUCCAUCCUUCCAGUGAAUAGUCAAGGUUGACUUCCUUUAGGACUGACUGGUUUGAUCUCCCGUUGUCCAAGGGACUCCCAAGUGUCCUCUCUAGCUUAUGGGUCUUUAUGCUUAUCGGUCUCUUAUUAACUGAUGAAGCAUAGUUUUCUGCAAGGAAAAUAUCCAUACAUUGACUUUAAAAUUCUCCUGUGACCUCAAGCUGCUAAGUAUUAAAAAAAAAAAAUCCUUUUUGGAUUGAGAAAGCCCCGCGAUCAAGCAGUGUAAGUACAUUACAGAUUUUUAGAAAUGGAAAAUAUUCCUGGAAAUGCCUCUUAGCGAUCAGGAGGUGGGUGUUUCAGGUGUUUGAAUUAAAGCCUUUGUUUUGGGGUUCGGGUGUCUUCUCCCUGCAAGAUUCAGAGAGGGCUGGAAGGCUUGUGGAAGAUAAAAGAUGGGAGGGGCUGCUGGGGAAAUGGGGGUGUCCAGGCCCUUCCGUGACAGAGUGAUUUCAGGGAAGACUGAUUCUCUUUAGACUGGGCCCCUUGAAAAGUGUUCCACUUUGGAGCCCCCGCAGUGGGGGAGAGGAGAGUGGGUAAGAUUCAGCCCAGCCCUCCCAGUUCUGGCAGGUGGUUCGCCGCUGUGGACAGGGUGUCUUGCCCCAAACUGUGCUCACUCAGGGCUCCUCCCAGGGCUGCGCAGGAGAGAGAGGCAAGGCCUGUUGUGCUGGCCGGGUGGGGAGCGGCUCCCCCCGGGACCCUUCCUGGGGCUCUCAGGGGCCUGUGGCGUGGCUUGGGCCUGGUGAAGGGCAGGACCGAGCCGUGGGACCGUGGCUCUUCAGACUGGGUCCCAGGAGGGGCCCAGGAAGAGGGUCACACCUGCUGGGGCCUGGCUUAGAGGAGGGAAAUGAGCCCUGGAAUCUUCCUGGAAAUUCUGGGCCCCCUGCCCCGCGGAGGAGGCAGGCUGGGUGAGUGGUGGUAGGGUGCUUCUGCCCGCUUGACUGCGCCCCUCAAAGCCCAGGGCACAGCGGCUCAUUUCUCAGGAUUUUCUUGAUCCCCGCCCCCAUCACCCUGGAUGGGGGUCUGGCAAGCUGUCGUGUUGGCCUGUGCUGCGUGGGGGACCCGUCACCAGGCAGGCAGGCCGCCAGGAAAGGACCAGCUCUUGCUUCUCUGUUGCCCAGGGUUGGGAGGGCACCGGUUCAGAGUAGCCCUUGUCACAUGGCUGGAUGGCAUCAGUGGGUCCAGACUUCCCUCCCACGCGGGUGUCCAGCUCCCAGGCAGGCCUCUGGCCCGCUCUUUCUUGGCCUCACCCUGAGGGUUCAGAUCCGGGGACAGUCUGGCCACUCCCUGCCACCCGCCUCCAAGAUGCUGGGUCAUGGCAGGUGGCACGUGGGUUUACACCCACCUGGACGACCGCUGGGGUGUUCACAAAGCUGGCGCCCGGGGAAGGGGGUGGGGCAAACCUUCAGCUGUGGUUAAAUGGUUUUGUGUCCAGGUGAAGCUGGGGUGGAAUUCCUGAAGACGGCUGUGGUGAGCCUGGCGUGUAUGGUUAAUGAUUCUCCACACACGGGGUGGUAAUUGGCACGCCCUGGGUUUGCAAGGGUGUCAAGGCUUCUUGGCUUUCCUGCAGGAAAAUGGUCCAAAACUGCGUGGGGGGCCGCCUGGUGUGGGUGUGUCCUGAUUCUUCGGGGUCCUUCUGGGUGUGUUCCAGGCCGGUGAGUGAUGGCAGGGGUGUCUGCAUUCUGCUGUCUCUCCAUCAGCCUGUUUCUGAUGAGGGUCUUUGGGCUGAGGGGCAGACACCCACUCAGAUCAGGGUCGGGGGUGUAUCAGGGGGUCCAGGCUGUUGCUGUCACUGCAGGGCCAGACGGGCUCCCAGGGUGGUCUUUCCCUCCGUCUCUCUUUCUCGGUGGCCCAUCUUGAUGACUUUACGUCGUGAAAAUCAGGGAUAUAUAGGUACCUGUGGCUGAUUCACGUUGAGGUUUGACAGAAAGCAGCAAAAUUCUGCAAAGCAAUUAUCCUUCAAUAAAAGCAUAAAUUGAAAAAAAUCAGGGUGACAGCGAGCAUGUGGACCCGCAGGGCUCCGCGCGUGGACGCUCCCCGUCCAUGAUGCGGUCCCGGGAGUGGGCACUUGUUUUCUUGCGCCCACUCUCCGGGGGAGUAAACCGAGGCCGAGGGAGCCAGCCUGGCUGCCGUCCACCCCACGGUGCAGAAUUAGGGACCCUCCCUUCCCUCGACUCUACACAUGGGCAUCACCAGAUGGUCAGUACUGGAAUCAGAUUGAUAGUAUUCUUUGUAGCCGAAGAUGGAGAAGCUCUAUACGGUCAGCAAAAACAAGGCCUGGAGCUGUCUGUGGCUCGGAUCAUCAGCUCUUUAUUGCAAAGUUCAGGCUCCAGUUGAAAAAAGUGAAGAAAACCACUAGGCCAUUCAGCUGUGAUCUAAAUCAAAUUCCUUAGGUGAUGGAUAGAUUCAAGGGACUAGAUCUGGUAGACAGAGUGCCUGAAGAACUGUGGAUAGAGGUUUGUAACACCGUACAGGACGUGAUGACCAAAACCAUCCCCAAGAAAAGGAAAUGCAAGAAGGUAAAGUGGUUGUCUGAGGAGGUCUUCAAAUAGCUAAGAAAAGAAGAGCAGUGAAAACGCAAAGGAGAAAGGGAAAGAUAUGCCCAAGUGAAUGCAGAGUUCCAGAGAAUAGCAAGGAGAGAGGAGAAAGCCUUCUCAAGUGCAAAGAAAUAGAGGAAAGCAAUAGAAUGGGGGAAGACUAGAGAUUUCUUUAAGGAAACUGGAGACACCAAGGGAACAUUUCAUGCAAAGAUGGGCACAAUAAAGGACAGAAAUGGUAUGGACCUAACAGAAGCAGAAGAUAUUAAGAAGAGGUGGCAAGAAUACACGGAAGAACUAUACAAAAAAGCUCUUAAUGACCCAGAUAACCAUAACGGUGUGGUCAAUCACCUAGAGCAAGACAUCCUGGAGUGUGAAGUCACGUGGGCCUUAGGAAGCAUCACUACGAACAAAAAGCUAGUGGAGGUGAUAGAAUUCCAGCUGAGCUAUUUCAAACCUUAGAAAAUGAGGCUGUGAAAGUGCUGCACUCAUUAUACCAGCGAAUUUGGAAAACUCAGCAGUGGCCACAGGACUGGAAAAGGUCAGUUUUCUUUCCAGUCCCAAAGAAAGGCAAUGCCCACGAAUGUUCAAAGUACCACACAAUUGUGCUCAUUUCACAUGCUAGCAAAGUAAUGCUCAAAAUCUUACAAUCAAGGCUUCAACAGCAUGUGAACUGAGAACUUCCAGAUGUACAAGCUGGAUUUAGCAAAGACAGAGGAAUCAGAGAUCAAAUUGCCAACAUAUGCUAAAUCAUAGAAAAAGCAAGGGAAUUAAAAAAAAAUCUACUUCUGCUUCAUUGACUAUGUUAAAGCCUUUGACUGUGGAUCACAACAAACUGAAAUAUUCUUAAUGAGAUGAGAAUAUCAGACCACUUUACCUGCUUCCUGAGAAAUCUGUAGGCAGGACAAGAAGCAACAAUUAAAACUGGACAUGGAACAACAGACUGGUUUCAAAUUGGGAAAGGAGUACGUCAGGCUAUAAAUUGUCAUCCUGCUUAUUUAACUUAUAUGCAGAGUACAUCAUGCAGAAUGCUGGGAUGGAUGUAUCACAAGCUGGAAUCAGAUUGCCAGGAGAAAUAUCAGUAACCUCAAAUAUGCAGAUGAUACCACUUUAAUGGCAGAAAAUGACGAGGAACUAAAGAGCCUCUUGAUGAAGGCGAAAGGAGAGUAAAAAAGCUGGUUUAAAACUCAGCAUUCAAAAAACUGUGAUCAUGGCAUCUAGUCCCAUCACUUCAUGGCAAGCAGAUGGGGGAAAUUGCUGGAAAAUGAUGGAAACUGUCAGAUUCCAUUUUUCUUGGGCUCCAAAAUCGACGUGGACAAUGAUUGCAACUAUGAAAUUAGAAGAUGCUUUGCUUCUUGGAAGGAAAGCUGUGACAAACCUAGACAGUGUAUUAAAAAGCAGAGACAUCACUUCUUGACAAAGGUCUAUGUAAUCAAUGCUCCGGUUCUUCCAGUAGUCAGGUAUGGAUGUGAGAGUUGGACCAUAAAGAAGGCUGAGCACUGAAAAAUCGAUGCUUUAGAACUGUGGUGCUGUAGAAGACUCUUGAGAGUCCCUUGGACUGCAAGGAGAUCAAACCAGUCAAUCUUAAAGGAAAUCAGGCCUGAAUAUUCAUUGGAAGGGCUGAUGCUGAAGCUGAAGUUGCAGUCCUUUGGCCACCUGGUGUGAAGAGCUUACUCUUUGGAAAAGACGCUGAUGCUGGGAGAGAUGGAGGGCAAGAGGAGAGGGGGUUCCAGGGGAUGAAAUGGCUGGAGGGCUUCACUGACUCAGUGGACAUGAGUUUGAGCAAAGCUCUGGGAGAUGAUGAAGGACAGAGAAGCCUGGCGUGCUGCAGUCCAUGGGGUCACAAAGAGUUGGACACGACUAAGCGGCUGAACGACAACAGCCCUUCCCACCCCCGUCGUCUUGGGGACGGUCAACAGCCCUUCCCACCCCUGUCAUCUUGGGGACGGUCAACAGCCCUUCCCACCCCCGUCAUCUUGGGGACGAUGCCCGGGCUUCCCUUUUGCUCCUUGCGGGAUGAAUGCAGCUGGGUAGCCCAGGGCUUCUCAAGCUUCUGGUCUGAGGAUGCUACUCCCCUCUUUGAAGAGUUUUAGGGACCCCUGAGAGCUUUUUGUUUAUGUGUGUUAUAUCUAUGGAUAUGUGUCCUGUUAGAAAGGCUUCCCAGGUGGUGCUCGUGGUAAGGAACCUGCCUGCCAGGGCAGGAGACGUAAGAGAUGCAGGCAAGAAUACUGCAGUGGGUUGCCAUUUCCUCCUCCCAGGGAUCUUCCCGACCCAGGGAUUGAACCCGCGUCUCCUGAGGCUCUUUACCUCUGAGCCGCUGGGAAAGCUAGACCAUGUGGCGGGAGCAAUUGGGAGCCAGGCAGUUCUUUAGGCAAGAAGACUGAGUCUUGGUCUCGGAGGGGGACCCAGUGAAGAGGGACGGGUGGGCAGAGGCGGCUGGGGGCCGGGACAGCCCCCGGGAGGGAGGCAGACUUCACCUGGGAGGAGAGGCCUUCCCACACUUCUUCCUUUCCAGCCUGGGUGCUUCUGUUUCACUGUCUUGCCCAGGCGCCCUGGCUGGAACCCUCAGCUCACCGUUGAAUGGAGGUGGUGAGAAGGCGCGCCGGGUCUGGCUCCUGAUCUUGGGGAAGGCUCCAGCCGUUCACCAUCACUUGUGAUGGCGGUGGUGGGCGCCGUGCGGAUGCCCUCUGUCAGGCUGAAGGGGUUCUCUUUUCUUUGCUGAGCGUUUACGUCAUGAAGUGGGGCUAUGUUGUAUCUCUUGGGAGAAUCAGCUGCAUUUUGUCCUUUAUUCUAUUAACAUGGUGUCUUACAUUAAUUGAUUUUUCGAUGUUAAACCAAUGUUGCAUUCUUGGGAUAAAUCUCACUUAGUCAUGGUUUACAAUCCUCUUUAUAAGCUGCCGGAUUCAGUUUUCUAGAAUUUUGCUGAGCUUUUUUGUGUGUAUGUGCAUAAGAGCUAUGGGUCUGUAGUUGUCUUGGGAUGGUGUCACAGUAAUAUCGGCCUCAUAAAAUUAUUGGGGUGUAUUCUCUUCUAUUUUUUGGAAGAAUUUGCCAUGAGUUGAUAUUAAUUCUUUUUUAAAAAUUGAAGUGUAGUUGGUUUCCGACGUCAUAAAUUUAAUUUCUGCUGUACUGCAAAGUGAUUUAGUUAUACAUAUGUAAAAUCCUUUUUUUUUUUUUUUUAAGAAAAAUAAAUAUAUAUAGUUUUGUGUAGACAUAUCAUGCUCAGUUGUGUCCCUUUGUAACCCCAUAGACUGUAGCCCGACGGGCUCCUCUGUCCUUGGGAUUUCCCAGGCAAGAGUACUGGGACAGGUUGCCAUUUCCUCCUCCAGGGGAUCUUCCCGACCCAGGGAUCAAACGCGGCUGUCUUGGGUCUCCUGCCUUGGCUGGUGGAUUCUUCACCGCUGAGCCACCUGGGAGGACCUUGUUUUAUCCAUUCUGCAUAUAAUAGUCUGCGUCUGCUAACCCAAGCUCCGAGUUCCCUUCCUCUACCCCCCCUGGCCACCCCAGCUCUGUUGUUUGUGUCUGUGAGUCUGAUUUUGUUUCAUUUGUGCCGUAUUUGCCAUUCCACAUGUAAGUGAUACCAUGAUGCUUGUCUUCCUCUGACUUCACUUGGUGUGAUAGCCUCCAGGCCCUUCCACGUUGCUGCACAUGGCCUUAUCUCACUCCUUCGAACAGCUGAGCAACAUUCUAUUGUAUAUAGGCACCACAUUUUCCGUCUAUUCCUCUGUCGAUGGACAUUUAGGUUGCAUCCAUGUCUUGGCUGUUAAGAAUAGUGCUGCUGUGAGAGGAGGACCUGUGUGUUUUCGAGAAAUUAAUUCUUUAAGUGUUUGGUAGAAUUCACCAGUGAGGCUGCCCGGGCCGGAGCUUCUCUCUGUGUGAAGUUUUGAAUUGGUUAACUGGCUCCCUACCUGGUCUGCAUGUGCCCAGGUCCUCUGGAGUCCCGGUGGUCGGUUAGCAUUUCACUGAAAUCUGUCCGAUUCGUCUCAGCAUCUAAUUCAUUGUCCCUCCGUCAUUCAUGGCAUUCCCUGUCUUCCUCUGUGUUCCCGCGAGGCUGGUAAAAGUGCCCCCCCUUCGUUUCUGAGUCUGGUGAUUUGAGCGUUUCCCCCUCCUGACCAUUCUAAAUGAACAGUUUGUCAGCUUUAUUGACUUUUCCAAAGAACCAGCUUUGGUCUCAUCUUUCGCUCUGUUUUUCUACGUUCGUUUUCAUUCGUUUCCACCCUCACGUUUAUGAUCGCCUCCUUUCUGCUCGCUCAGUGUUAGCUGUAGCCGGAAGAGACAGACGAUGAGAAGAGGGUUGGCACAGAGGCACCUCCGUGGCCCAGGGGAAGGAGAACCCGGUGAGGG